rnacentral:rRNA from 1 species
GUGAAGCGGGACCGGCUCAAUGUGUGAAUCUGGCUUGGGGUAGUUCCCUGGUCCGAGUUGUGCACUAUGGACGUUUCGUCUGCGUUUGUAAUGGCGGUGGAAGUCCGUUGAAACACGGCACCUCAGAGGGUCACAGUCCUGUACCACCUGCCUGCACUCGCGCCAAUGACAAGCGCUCCUCGAGUCGCGUAGUUUUGUAAUGCUGCGCCAAGUGGGAGGUAGAGACCUUCUAAGGCUAAAUAUGAUGACGUGACCGAUAGCACACAAGUACCGCGAGGGAAAGGUGAAAAGCAACCAUGAAAAAUGGGUUGAAACAGUAGUGAAAGCGCUACCGGGAUAAGGGCUAUUGGGUGCUGGGGCUUCUCGGGUGUGCUUCAGUGCUACCCUUGGAGACGGCCCGCGUGGGUUGAUUGGGGUGAUAAACGCGCCGUUGGAAUUCGGCUGUCUUUGGACAGUGUUGUAGCCUUCGGUCGCCGUCCUCCUGCGACC